GAUGAAGAACGUAGCGAAAUGCGAUAAGUAAUGUGAAUUGCAGAAUUCAGUGAAUCAUCGAAUCUUUGAACGCUCAUUGCGUCCGGCAGUAAUCUGCCGGGCAUGCCUGUCCGAGCGUCAUUUCACCCCUCGAGCCGCUUUUAGUGGAUCGGUGUUGGGGCACUACGGUAAAACGUAGGCCCUGAAAUGAAGUGGCGGUCCCGCCGCGGUGCCCCCAUGCGUAGUAACGUUUAGUCUCGCAUCUGGUCCCGGCGGAGGCCUGCCGUCAAGCCUAUUUAUUCUCAGAAUAGUUUGACCUCGGAUCAGGUAGGGUUACCCGCUGAACUUAAGCAUAUCAAUAAGCGGAGGA
rnacentral:misc_RNA from 1 species